GACGAACCGUGCGAACGUUGUUCGGAAUCACUGGGCUUAAAGGGCGCGUAGGCGGGCAUUCAAGUCAGGGGUGAAAUCCCCCAGCUUAACUGGGGAACUGCCUUUGAUACUGGACGUCUCGAGUAAGGUAGGGGCAUGCGGAACUGAUGGUGGAGCGGUGAAAUGUGUUGAUAUCAUCAGGAACUCCGGUGGCGAAGGCGGCAUGCUGGACCUUCACUGACGCUGAGGCGCGAAAGCUAGGGUAGCGAACGGG
rnacentral:rRNA from 1 species